UACGAAGGGGGGCUAGCGUUGCUCGGAAUCACUGGGCGUAAAGGGUGCGUAGGCGGGUCUUUAAGUCAGGGGUGAAAUCCUGGAGCUCAACUCCAGAACUGCCUUUGAUACUGAGGAUCUUGAGUUCGGGAGAGGGUGAGUGGAAACUGCGAGUGUAGAGGGUGAAAUUCGUAGAUAUUCGCAAGAACACCAGUGGCGAAGGGCGGCUCACUGGCCCCGAUACUGACGCUGAGGGCACGAAAAGCGUGGGGGAAGCAAACAGGGG
rnacentral:rRNA from 1 species